ensembl:lncRNA
CCUCAGCUGGCCUCAUCACGGACAGUCCCAUGAGGAGUGGGUGUUUGUUUCCUGCUUCACAGUUAGGGCAGGAACAAGCCCAGACGCAGCUUACCAGAGCAUGAAAAUGAAAUGGCCACCUCCUGUAACAAGAAAGACUUCUAGAAGAGGAAGGAGACAUCAAUACAUUCACAAAACCUUCAACUCGAAAUCUGUCUUGCCAAUAAGUGUGCAGGGAUAAAGACAGAAAAGUAGCACACCUGUCUCCAGAGGCUUCACUCAGCAGCUGAAAGCCACAGCCAAUCCUCAGAUGGAGCUCGGGAAGUCUUGUGGAAGAGUGGGGGAGAGUGCCAAGCAAACUGAACCAUCUGGAAUCCAUUCACUGAGGGACUCCAUCCCUGGACUGGAAGCUACAGGUGGGACUUUUGUAUCCAGGUCUCCCAGCCCUGGGACAGGGAUGCAUGGAUAAAGUGGGGAGAAGCAGACUGGAAUGGUGCAGAGGUUAUCCUGCCAACAACCCCAAGCCCCCAGCUGCAUGAAAAUGUAGAAUAGCGAGCAGUUUCCCAGACAGCCUCACUCCCCAUAGACAGACUUCUUCCAGUCCCUCCUUAUGCCAAGGGAAAGAAAAGCAAAAAAAGCAGGAGCACGGAAAGAAAAAUUGCACUACUCCCAGGAGCCAAGGACAAGCCCCCUCCCAUCCUCUGAUCUGACCCCAUAACCAUCCACAGCCAAGUCCUGGGCUCAUCUCUAGAGGCACAGGGACCCAGGCAGAUGAGCCCUUGAAUCACAAUCGGCUCCUCAAAAGCAUCCUAUGGGUGUCAGUCCUGAGUCCAUGAAUCGGAGGUGCUCUGCACAGCUAUUCAGAGAAGCCUUCUCUUGAUCUCUGUCAAAGAUCUCUGUGUUGGAUGUCAGAGGAGAGUGUCCACCCAGUAUCAGUUCUGGGAAUGUGGCCCUCUAAUAUGUUAGCCCAUGUGAACCUCCCCACAGAGCGCC